rnacentral:ncRNA from 1 species
GGGACGACCGGCCCCCCGGACGAGGGCGCCGUACCCGGAGUGCGACAAGACGGCGCGUG